GCCUCGGUGGUGUAAUGGUAAAGCACGCGUCCCAUGAUAGGAUUAAGCGCGGGUUCGAUUACCGCCUGAGGCC